CGUGUGAAAAUUGCCCCAGAGUAUCUGCAACAUCAAAUUGUCUAAUUGUGUUUAAUGUGUUGCCUAAAUAUCGUGUUUUGAUUUUCCGCAUUUCAUUCCUUAUCGUAAAGGUACCAUAUGUUGAAGAUUAUUCCCGAAUGUUCACUCUUGGCAUUUUUCAAUUCGAUUUUGAAACUCUGAAUAGCUUGUGCGUAUAUAGAGGUUAUUUGCUGUUUCUUGUGAAAAUCCAAAUUUUGGGAUAAAGAUAACCGUCUAUAAUUCAACUAUUGCUGAUUUGAUUGUUGGAAUAGCAAUAUUACCCUUUUUGGGGAUUAAAAACGUACUUCGGCUACGAAGAGCAUUCACUUUGAAAGGCCACCCAACAACUUGAGGCCUUUUAUUUCAUGAGUAUUCCUUUUAUUCCUGUUUCGGACUGAACACAUUUCUACGGAUUCUGGCUCGUUCGAUUCUGAAACGAACUUCAUAAACAAAAUUCUCGUACCUAUUUCCCCAUCUGAAGAAAGGAAAAGUAUCUUGGAAGGAUUUUCAACAUUGUGAAUUGGUUGGGAUUCUCGAAUUGGUAAUUUCGUCGAAUAUACAGGACGUCUGGUAUGUAGAAAGAAUUUCUUUUGAUGUUGACGUCACAGGAAGCCAUUUGCAAGAAAGGGGAAUACGUAUUGUUUUGGUCAAUUAUACCUUUUGAAGUGGAAAGUUAAAGGACUUGUUCUCACAUUCAUUCAGAAAACAUCAGAUAUUGUUAUCAUUCCGUUCAUAAACUGUCCCAUAGAGAAAAUUUCAAAACUCAAUACCUCAGAUUGUAUAUUUUUAUUUCAUGAAAAUAUCAUUGCACAUUACAAGUGAAAUUUCAGAUAAAUUUAUAAUACAUAUUUACAGAUUUUGAAACAGAUCCUAAAAUAUAUUAUUUUUCAUCCAUAAACGAUAAUUCUAUAAAUGAAGUGGAAUUCUAGUACUUAAAUUAAAUUUAUUAAAUAUAUAGUGUGUACUAGUAAAAUUCUAGUACUUGAAUUAAAUUUAUUAAAUAUAUAGUGUGUACCAUAUAAUUAGUGCGAUUUUGUGAAAACUACGCUUGAUCAAGCAUAGGGGGUAAAAUACUUGUCAAUUAAGGUUCAUUAUCAAUCAGAAUAGAAUUGUAGGAAAUUGAUAAUAGAAUUUUACAUCGGAA